rnacentral:rRNA from 1 species
GAGCACGUAGGUGGGUUUGUAAGUCAGAUGUGAAAGCCUUCUGUUCAACGGAAGAAUUGCAUCUGAAACUGCGAGUCUUGAGUGUAGGAGGGGAGAAUGGAACUUCUGGUGGAGCGGUGAAAUGCGUAGAUAUCAGAAGGAGCGCCGGCGGCGAAAGCGAUUCUCUGGCCUAUUACUGACACUCAGUGUGCGAAAGCUAGGGGAGCAAACGGGAUUAGAUACCCCGGUAGUCCUAGCCGUAAACGAUGGGCACUAAGUAGAGGGGUUUU